AUGUCUGUUUAAGUUGGUAGGUGGGGAGCUUAGGCAAAUCCGGGCUCCUAUUAACACUGAGAGAUGAUGACGAGUUUCUACGGAAAUGAAGUAACUGAUACCACGCUUCCAGGAAAAGCCACUAAGCUUCAGAUGAAGAUAAACCGUACUGAAAACCGACACAGGUGGUCAGGUAGAGAAUACUCAGGCGCUUGAGAGAACUCGGGUGAAGGAACUAGGCAAAAUAGCACCGUAACUUCGGGAGAAGGUGCGCUGGCGUAGGUUGU
rnacentral:rRNA from 1 species